GAGACAUGGUCUCUUCUUCCUCGUACCCUCUGUUACUUCGCCGCCGCUGGUAAACGCCGUCUUGUCCGUUUAGCCCCAAGUUAACACCACUGAUUCACCUUACUCUCCUCUUCCCAUUCCCCAUAUUUCCAUCUCUCGAAUCCUUUCCUAUCUCCUCGAAUCUUCAUCGGAAGUUUUUCCUGCCAUGAUGUUUCUUAUCCCAAACAAUCCCAAAAUAACAACGUAGAAUCGCCCAAGCUUCCUCAACCCAAUUCCCAUAGCCAUAUCCCUCGAAUCUGCCUAGAACCGGUCAAAUAUUAGUUUUUAUUUCUCCGGCCAAAAUGCUAAAACGACCAAAGUGUAUGAAAUUGACGUCAAGGGAUCCCUGGGCCUUCUGCAUAAGGAUUUGACAUUCAUUAGAGCCAAGCGUCAUCAGAAUUGGCCGAGUUUUGAAGUAGUAACUGGCCGAUGUUUUCUUUUCAUCAGUGAGUUUCCUGGUUUUUACUUUUAUUUUAUUUUUGAUUUUCCUUAUUUAUGUUUAUCUGCAUGCUGUUACAAUUGGUGGUUUUUGGAUUUUCAGUUUGGUUUGAAUGUCAAAAUCAGUUAGUUAAAGUUUCCAGAUUAAUUCGUUAUGUUAAUUGAUUUUGAAUUAGUUUUGAAGCCUUAUCGGAAUAGUUUAAUUGUUAGAUGCUUGAGGCACUUACUGAUUACUGCUUUAUUUAGCCAGGUUUAGUGUAAAUAAGUAGUUUAAUCUUAGUUUAGCUCAAUAUAGGUGUUCAGCCUUCAUUUCAAAGGGGUUUGGGUAGACCAAUAAUUUCAAGGGGGUUUUAAGGGUAGUUUAGGAAAUAAAUAAAGGGAAUACUCUCAGAUUUGGGGAGGUCACAUGUGGGGGGAAAUUAAGGUCCUAUUUUGGGAAGUGUAGGUCAUAGAAGCUUCUAGUAUUUUUUUUCACCUAUAAAUUGGCAUUCAUUUGCCUUGUGGGGAGGUAUUCUCUGAGCCAUUUUAAGCUCACAAAAAUACUUUUUCCACUCUUCCAAUUUGAAGAAGACCGUCUGAAACUCAGAAAACUAAAAAAAACACAAAAACAAAGAGAAAAUGCAGUAAACAAAGGGCGCACCCACUAGUAUUGUUACAUCGUGUUUACGCUCAAUUUUUAAAUUUUCAUUAGCAGUUCGAGAUUUCAGGAUUUGAUUUCAAGGUCCUGGAAUUACCUGAUUGGUUUUACUUGAUUUCAAAUCAUUCCUGGUUUUUAUACUCGUCACUGGUUUCAAGCUUAGCAUAUUUUGGGUUGCUGAAUUAUCUCUGGACUGCUGCUGCUUACCAUUUGUUGUGUUUGACCUCAUUUUCUCUCUUAUUUUGCAAUCUCCAGGUAUGUUCCCAGAUUCAAAGUGCUGGAACAAAACUGAUAUGUAGAAACUUAUUUGAAAUCAAGUAAUGGAGAAUUGAAGCUUAGAUUGUUUGAUUCGUUGUACCUAUAUUUUUGCAUAUUUGCUUACAGUGUUGUUUAGUUUGCUUAUAAUUCUCGUGUGGUUUGUUAAAUUGGAUUGAAAUUUCAGCAGUGUAUAACUGGAUAGUUUAUUAUUGUUUUAGUUCGUGGUUAAACUUGAUUUGAUUCCAUGCUUUCCUUAGAUCAUGAGAACUCCAUAGAUAAUAGUGUUCUUUAGUUCAUGAUUUCAGUAGUAAAUAAUACAUUUCCUAUUUUCAGUAGUUAGCAAUCAAAUUGGGAACUCGUCAGUGUAAACUAGCUAUAGUGUUAAGCAGAAAUAAGAGUGUGUUUUAAGCAAAAGAAAAAAGAGGUUCAAAGUAAGGGCGGUGGAAUUGCACAAGAGUCAGGUAUAAGCAUGUUUGUGUAUUGUUACAUGAGUUGGAACUUCUCAAACGCGUGGGGGGAAAUUGCUUCCAUCUGGUUUUGAACUUGCGUCGGUUAAUCUGCGGCAAUGUAAUGGGACACUUUAAAUAUUAAUGAAUUAGGGUCUUCGUUUAUUUUAGAUACAAAUAGACAAUUGUAGUUGCUUUAGUUUACCCUUAAAAAUAUAGAUAAUGAGACGAGCCUCGUCCAAUGAAAUACAAAUUACGGGGCCCUCAAUAACUGCUAUAUAAAAAUAUUUAUAAUUCGGGAGGGUCAUUUAGUGAAUUUUACGGCCUUUCAAAAAAAAUAUUGUGUUAGAUUCUUUAGGCAUGAUUUUGACAAAUUACAUUUCUAAACUCGGGUGCGCAUUGAUGCGACCUAAAUAUAAAUCUCAACUGAGUCGAAACGUGUUGACAACCACGGGUGCAUUGAUUGUGACGUGGUUCGAGACACAUUUUUACGAUGUUGCAAUUCUUUUAAAAUAAUGAUAAAAGCGGUUUACGAAUAAAAAUCACAUAAGCUAGCAUGUACUAAAAUCAGAUAAAAUCAAAUACAACAGUUAAGCGACCGUGCUAGAACCACAGAACCCGGGAAUGCCUAAUACCUUCUCCCGGGUUAAUAGAAUUCCUUAUCCGAAUUUCUGGUUCGCGGACUGUAAUACAGAGUCAUAUUCUUCCUCAGUUCGGGAUUCAACCGGUGACUUGGGACACCAUUAAUCUCCCAAGUGGCGACUCUAAAUAAUUAAUAACUAAAUCUCAUUCCGAUCGACCUUUAAUUGGAAAAAGUCCUUUACGCUCUCGCGGGUGUAGGGGAAAAAGAAGAUGUGACAGCUCUGGCGACUCUACUGGGGACAAGAACCCAGAACAUUUUGUUCAGGGUUCAGAAUUCAAGCUUAGAUAAAUUGUUGUAUUUGGCUAUAUCUGAUUUUCCUACAUGGUUCAUACUUAAUGUGCUAAAUGUUACCGCUUUGAAAUUAUCUGAAGUGUAUAUGAACUGUGCCGACACCCUUCUCUCUUCACCUAUGGGGAUGUGCUUAUUGGUUUCCCGCUCUGGUUUUCGAACCAAGCCUUUUUUUAUUUCCGUGCACCUUUCCUUAUAAAUAUGGGAGAGGUUGAAUCUGAAUCAUCUUUUGAACUUUUUGGAGAGCACUUUCUCAACCUUUACCUCGUCUUUCUCUGGUACCCAUUGAUCUUUUCUUUUAAAAUAUUCGUUCCUGGGAAUCGAACCUUGUAUCCUUAAAACGCCUUUCUCUCAUUACUUUCAUCAUGACUAAAUGUCGUCACGAUAGUACCAGGACCAAGGGUGAUGCCCUCUCUAGGGCUUCGUCGUCCUCAGAUGAUGGGGAAGCCGAGGAGGUUCUCAUUCCCCUAUCAACGGCCAAUAUUCUUCCACUGGAUAUGGCUGCAUGGAAAUAUUUUAAGAACCAAUGUAAACUUUCCACCAAACGUCAUCACGAUAGUACCAGACCAAGGGUGAUGCCCUCUCUAGGGCUUCGUCGUCCUCAGAUGGUGGGGAAGCCGAGGAGGUUCUCGUUCCCCUGUCAAUGGUCAAUAUUUUUCCAUUGGAUAUAGUUGCACGGAAAGAUUUUAAGAACCAAUGUAAACUUCCCCCUUGGGAACUCAGUGAACUGACGCCGUCUCAUUUGGUUACUCUUAGGGAGUCGUAUAGUAUCCCUAACUACAUCGAGAUGGAUCCCACCGGGACGGACUAUGCCAACGUGCAUAGGCUCGGAUAUUGCACAUUUUACGAGUAUGCUUUUCGAAUCGGGUAUAUCCUCCCACUUUACCCUUUGGCAUAGGAGCUUUGUCGCUUGUACGGGGCGUGUCCGACCCAACUUACUCCGUACGUGUUGAAGGUGUAUAGGAUUCUUACCACCUAUGCGGUGAAGGCUGAGAAAGAGUUAACAUUCACCAACUCUUGCAAAUGUUCGGUGUGAGCUUUAUGAGAGGCUCAAUGCUCCAGUUCGUAAGCCGGGGCAAGAAGAGUUUUGUGUUGCAAGCGGACGACAAGGCCAGCCGUAAAUUUGGAAGAGAUUUUUCGAUGUGCGUACUGAACACCUGGUGUCGUACCGUUGAUACCGUUUGUGGAGGAAUGCCGUACCUGACCGGAAUUCCUCGGGCUCUAUGUCAAGUCAAGUAACGGCCUUGCUUGAUAUUUCCUUUUUGUUCUGACAUGGGGUUCUCCAUAAUUUUUUUGCCUAUCUUAUACGUUUUUUGGUAGGUCGAGGCGCCUCUAAGAAGGCACAUAAGAAGAAGAAGAAGAAAAAGAGAGCCGUGGCCGGCCCUUCUAUGGCGGCAUUUGACCUUGGUGAAGAGGAUUUGAUCCUCGUAGGUACGUCCAGGGGUAGUGUUUCUCUCCUCUCAAGGCAGGAGAUCGCAUCAGGGGCGGCUACAGAGUUAGUGUCUGAGAUAGUUUCAGGGGCCUUACUUGAAACAAUGCCCAAAGAGAUACCGGCGGCUAUGCCUAGGACCGUCCUCGGGGUUGCCCCCACAAAAGCGCCCACUGUCGAACCGUCCCCUUCUGAGCUCGUCAUGCAUCCCACUGACGGGGACCUUGAAGAGGAAGAGACGUUGGAGAGGAGGAGACGUCGGAUUCUAACCGCAAGGUUGUGGUUGUGAGCACGUGAUUUUUUCCCUAUAUAUGAAUAAUUCCCAAAAAUCCAAACAAAAUGGCUUUUCUUUAUUUUUAUAAUUUUUGUGUAUUUUUGUGUUAUUUUUUAUUAUUUGUUUACGCAUGUUAAUUCAUAUGAAAAUGCAAAAAAAAAUAUGCAUGCGCAUUUAGGAUUUAAUUUCAUAUUUUAGUAUUAAUUAGGGAUUAAUUUAUUUUAGAACAAAGCGUGAAAAAUCACUAAAAAUAGUUCAUUUUAGUUUUUUUAGUUUAAUUAUAAAAUUGUUACAAAGGAUACUCAGGCAGUUAUCAGGGCGAAUGGUGGUGGAACGAUAUAGUCAAAGGAAAAGUGGAAGUGAAGAAGGCUGCGUUCGUUAGGUUGGUCCGGAGCACAAGCGAGGAUGAUCGGCGAGCGAACAGGGAGAUCUACAAGGUGGCAAGGAAAGAAGCAAAGAUGGCAAUCACGGAAGCUAAAAACGCGGCGUUCGGUCACAUGUACGAAGAGCUAGGGGAGAGAGGCGGGGAUAAGAAGUUAUUUCGGUUAGCUAGAGCGAGGGAGAGGAAGGCGCGUGAUCUAGACCAAGUUGGGUGUAUCAAGGGCGAGGAUGGUAGAGUUCUGUUGGGGGAAACUCAAAUCAAAUAGAGGUGGCAGGAGUACUUUCGGGACUUACUUAACGAGGAGGGGGAUCGUAACAUAGAGCUAGGAGAACUGUGGCACUCAGAGCGUCAUAGGGACCUUGGGUACUGCAGGCGCAUUAGGGUAGAGGAGGUCAUGGGGACUCUGCGUAGGAUGAGUAGGGGUCGAGCGACCGGGCCUGACGAGAUCCCGGUGGAGUUCUGGAAGAGCGCAUAAGGGUAGAGGAGGUCAUGAGGGCUCUGUGUAGGAUGAGUAGGGGUCGAGCGACCGGGCCCGACGAGAUCCCGGUGGAGUUCUGGAAGUGCAUGUGUAAGUUUAGGGGGGAGUGGCUCUCUAGGUUUUUCAAUGCGAUCUUCAGGACCAAAAGGAUGCCGGGCGAGUGGAGAUGGAGUUCAGUGGUGCCCUUGUACAAGAACAAAGGGGACAUCCAGUGCUGUAACAAUUAUAGGGGUAUCUAAUUGAUAAGUCACACCAUGAAGGUUUGGGAGAGGGUGGUUGAGACGAGGGUGAGGGGAGUGACAACUAUAUCUGGGAACCAAUUCGGUUUCAUGCCGGGUCGCUCCUCUACUGAGGCUAUCCACCUCGUCAGGCGGCUGGCGGAGCAAUUCAGGGAUAAGAGGAAUAUUUUUAUACAGAUUAAAUUUUUUUUUAAUAUUAAUUAGCAACGAAAUUAAUUAUAUUAAUAUUUACUAUCUCACAUAAAUACUCCUAACAUAUAUUGCAAUAUUAUUUACUCCAAGAAUAAGUUAGAAAUAAAAUAAUUAAUUCAUUCUUGAAAUCUAAAAAAAUUAUUUAUUUUGAACCACAAAAAAAAGAUCAAAAAACUAUUUAUUUUGGACCGAAAUAAAUAAUAUUUUACUAGUAUAUUUAUACUUCUUUCAUCUUAUUUUAUGUGAUCGUAAGACUUCUUAAAUUUAUCUUAAAUAUAUUAUAAUAUUUAUAUAAUUAUAAAACUUGUCAUUAAAAAUAAAGUAAGAAGUUAAACGGUUUUCUAAUUUAAACAGACUAUAACUUUGAACAGAUGCAGAUUCAAUUUUGAAGUGGUUUAUGAUUCCUACAACAUCUUCAUUAAAAACAUAAUAUGUAAUUGAGUUUACAAUUAAAUAUUUAUAAUAUUAUAAUUUGUUUGGAUAGUUAUUACUUAUCGUAUCGUAUUAUUACUUUAAAUAAAAUAACUAUUUUCAUAUUACUUAAAUUUUAUUGUAUUGUAUCGUUAAAUUUAUCGUUAUGUAAUGACGAAAAAUAUCACUUUAUGUAACGAUCAAUUUGGUGUGGUCAUAACGUUACCUUAAUUUUCCUCUCGUCAUUCAUUAUUAAUAAUAAUCUUAUUUUAUACUUUUUCAUAGACCUGCGAUGCUAUAUGGGGCGGAGUUCUGGCCCGUAAAGAAUUCCCAUGUUUAGAGGAUGAGGGUCGCGGAGAUGAGGAUGCUUAGGUGGAUGUGCCGGCAUACCAGGCUAGAUAAAAUUAGGAAUGAAAUUAUUCGGGAGAAGAUGGGGGUGACCUUGGUGGACGAGAAGAUGCGCGAAGCGCGGCUGAGGUGGUUCGGGCAUGUGCAGAGGAGAAGUCCUGAUGCACCGGUGAAGAGCUGCGAACGGCUGGUGAUUGCUGGCGGUCGGCGCGGCAGAGGGAGGCCCAAGAAGUAUUGGGGAGAGAUGAUUAGGCAGGAUAUGGCUAGAAUGCAGGUUUCAGAAGACAUGACCCUUGAUAGGAAAGCCUGGAGGUCUAGUAUCAGGGUUGUAGGAUAGGGGCACCUAGAGUUUCUCGUCCGCUCCUCCCGGGUUGGGGGUGGGGUAGCAGGGUUAUUCAUAGAUGAUAUGUGUUUACUGUACGAUACUAUUAUUUGUUAUUGUAUUUUGGUAUUUUGUUUCCUUUGUUCAGAUUAUUUCUAACGCUAUUUAUGCUGGAAUUUCUAUUGCACUAAUGAUAUACUNNNNNNNNNNNNNNNNNNNNNNNNNNNNNNNNNNNNNNNNNNNNNNNNNNNNNNNNNNNNNNNNNNNNNNNNNNNNNNNNNNNNNNNNNNNNNNNNNNNNNNNNNNNNNNNNNNNNNNNNNNNNNNNNNNNNNNNNNNNNNNNNNNNNNNNNNNNNNNNNNNNNNNNNNNNNNNNNNNNNNNNNNNNNNNNNNNNNNNNNNNNNNNNNNNNNNNNNNNNNNNNNNNNNNNNNNNNNNNNNNNNNNNNNNNNNNNNNNNNNNNNNNNNNNNNNNNNNNNNNNNNNNNNNNNNNNNNNNNNNNNNNNNNNNNNNNNNNNNNNNNNNNNNNNNNNNNNNNNNNNNNNNNNNNNNNNNNNNNNNNNNNNNNNNNNNNNNNNNNNNNNNNNNNNNNNNNNNNNNNNNNNNNNNNNNNNNNNNNNNNNNNNNNNNNNNNNNNNNNGUAGGGGUAAGGCUCGUCUGCAUAUUACCCUCCCCAGACCCCACCUGGUGGGAAUACACUGGGUAGUUGUUGUUGUUGUUGUUAUAAAAUUGUUACAAAAUAGUGUUAAAAGUAAUUUUAGGCAUUAAUUAGUCUAGUUUAAUAUUUUUGUUUUAAUUUUUGUAAUCUUCAAAAAUUAGAAAAUUACUAACAAAAAAUAUAAAGUGGAAAAAACAAAAAGGAAAUAAAAGGAACUAACCAAAAAAAAGAAAGAAAAGGAAUAAAGGAAGAAGGUUGUUUUAAUGGACCAAGUUUGGGCCAAAUGUGUUAGGCCCGAGUUAGUAUAACACUGCCCAUCCCAAUCCCCCAAACCCGGUCCAAGUCUACUAAGAGAUUAAACGACGUCGUUUGGCCAAGGUCUCUGUGAUCUCGACCGUUCAUGCCCUCAUAUCGACGGUCCAGGAGCAUUGGGUUGUUUUACAUAUAUAUGUAAUAACUCCUUUGUUAAUAUCAGAGACAGACCGUGUCUUCCUCGUAUCAACCCAGCCCCUGUAGUGCCACCUUGAGCCGCCGGCUGUAAAUCUCCUCCGUCAGCGGCGACGCUCCAAAUCGUCCCAAAAUCACACCUCGAACCCUCCUUCACCUCCUCACUCCGAAUGCAUCCUUGGUUUUCUCUAAAUCACCACCCAAAGUCUCGAAUGUUGGAUUGAAAAUCAGACCCAAAACGCUAAGUUGUCCAAAGUUGACCAAAAUCACACCAUAUAGUCUCUUAGGCAUCCUCACUCCAAAUCCCUAACCAAAAUCGCUUAAAUUUGAGUGGAACUGAACGAGUUACGGAUCUAGGAUUCAUGUUGUUCAAGGCUGUUUCGAGAUUCUUCAAGUCGAGUGAGUCCCAGUUAAUAUUACAGGUCUAUGCCUGACGAAAUAGACGUAUAAUAUUAACCGGGAUUCAAUUUCGAAUGGAUCUCUUGCAAAGUCAGAAUUACAAUAAGCUUUCGUCUCAUUUCUUUUAAGUUUUGUUUGAUUCAUACUUAAUCUGUUUAGUUAGUUGUAGUUUUAAUUUCCUAAUCAUUCUAAUUGGUAGUUUGAUUUUCAUACAAGUCUGUCCGUUAAUUAGGAUAACUCUUAGGUUUUCCAUCUUUUUAGCUCUGAUUUGGUUUAGCUUAAAUGUUCAAUUGUUAGUUUCUUUGUUAGGUGAUAGGUUGAUUUCAAUUAGUUCCAGUUAUUAAUCUAGUUGAAUUUCCUUUUGGUUCUACUUGAUUCAAUUGACUUUGGCAUUUCUAAUAAGUAAUUAGUUUGCAUUUGUGAUCCUUGUUUCCUGAUCUGUUUAAGUGUUGUUUAAGUGUGAAUUUCAAUUGUUUUUAACUAGUUUGUUAGUUUAAGCAAAAUGGUUAAAGUUGCUGGUUUAGUUCGGAUAAAAGAAGAGGCUGAUUUGGAGUAGUUUAGGGUGAAGUAGGGAUAAUUGAGAAAGUCAGGGGUAUGGUAGACAUUUAGGGGUGCACAAGUGUUGUGGUUUAAGCUAGAAUAUUUUAGGACCUUCUAGAAUAUGGCACAAGUGUAGGUUUCAGUAAUUUAGAUGUACUUACUUGAGUAACAAGUCAAAAAAUAGGGGCAGGAUAAGGAAUACAAGGAUAGGGAAUCUUUUAAAAUCUGAAUGGACAUUCUAUAUGAGGUUCACUUUAGAAUUCUAUAAAGUUUGGUGGUAUAACUUGGGAAACAAGUCAGUUUUUUAGGGAUACUUGAGCAAAAACGAAAAUUAGGAAAGGGUGUAAUGCAAAACUGAAAAUCUGAGUGUUGCCCCUUAUUUUUGCCUAUAUAAGGCACCCUUUAGUGCCUUAAUCAACAAGUUUGGCAGCCCAAAAAUACCCCAAGCUUCCAGAUCUGGAAUUUAGAUCUGAAAUUCCCUUAGCUUUCUUCACAUAGAAAAACCAAAAACAUUAGAAACUUUCAAACCCCCUCCCCCCCAAAAAAAGUCACUGUUUCAUAGGAAAUUGUAGGAUAAUUUGGAUGUUCUAGUUGUUAAUUCACAUCAUCUAGUCCAUUAUUUGAUUGCUGAUGUUCAGAAGGGUUGUUGGUUAGAUUUUGAGCAGCUUUGAGUCUGUUAAAUUGGUUUUGGGAUGAGUUCUGGUAGUAAUCCUAUGUGGAUUGUUUGUGUGUGAGUUAAAUCCCCGGUUGCUGAAGUUCAUUUCAAGUGAUUUUAGGUGGCUUCUUUGGCUGAGUAUGCAUUGCUGAGAUUUCAGAAGUUCGGAGUUCAAUUUAGAAUCUGUUUGAGUGCAGUCAAGUAAUUUGUGAUUGAUAUUUGGGUCUCUGUUGGUUUCAAACUCUUUCUGGGUCAUUUUCAAGGUUAUUUGGUUUGUUUUAGAGUUGUUUUGAGUCGAUCUUUCAGUUCCGAUAGGUUUAAAAUCUUCUGGGAUCGUUGAUUCAUUUUUGGGCUAAAUUGAUUGUGUUAUUAUUGCUGCUCGAUUACUGUUUGAACUGACCUCUUCUCCUCCACUGUUAUUCUGUUUUAAGGUACUUCUUUUGAUCUUUUAUGAACUGUUGAAGGGUUGGUGUAUUUUGAUUGGAUGAAUAAACGAUGAAGUGAUGCUGUUUGAAGGCAAAUUGUGCAUUAAUUUCAUUUCUGGCUAUUUCUAUUGUAUAAAAUAGUUUAUUCACUUAAGGUUUCUUGUCAUUUGUGUAAUUGAAUUGUUGAUUUGUGAUGAACUAAAUGAAAUAUUAGAGUAACAAAUCAUUGUCCAUGUUAGUUUUGCUUAGUACUUAUAAUGUAAAUUGAAAUCGGAAGUUAGUUAAAACAGGGAGUUAGUUGGUUCAAGCUUGUGAUUAAUUGAUAACUGGAAACUCCAGUGUUAGAUCAGACAGGUUAUAAUUUGGUUUGUUUGGCAUAAUGUGAUAACUGGAAUAGAGAAGAUAAUGCCCAGAUCUACAAUUCUUCUUUGAUUAAAUUGGAAAUCGAGCAGCAAGUGGGCGGCAUAGUGUGAUAACUGGAAUAGAGAAGAUAAUGCCCAGAUCUACAAUUCUUCUUUGAUUAAAUUGGAAAUCGAGCAGCAAGUGGGCUAGCUAUUUGCUAUGUUUGAAAUCAGGUCUCGUCCAGACCAUUGUUAUAAUUAGUAAAAAUGUGGUAAUUGUCACUUUUGGUCUAAGAACAUUUCAGUUAAUUCAUUUGUUUUGAAAUAGCUCAUUAGCAAUCCUUAAGUGAUUCCUCAUCAAUGUUGCCUAAAGCUCGAUGCAUGUUAAGUGAGUGCGCAGAUUU
rnacentral:lncRNA from 1 species